AUGGCUAGUAGCUCCAAUGGCCAUUGUCCAGCUAAUGGUGCAAAAGUUCUGCCUGGAAGGGGGAAGAAGAAUCAGGAGAAAUUACAGCUUGACAAAGAUGCAGCUUCUAGGGCCUGUCAAAAGGACAGGCAAUACAUUGAGAAAUUGGAAACUGAGCUGAGCAACUGCUAUCAGGAAAUUGACUAUUUGCAGGAUCAGUUAAAUAUCAGGAAUGUUGAAGCAAACAUCAUGGGGGAGCAUAUUCACGGCCUUGAACUGAAACUAACUGAACUUGAGAAAUUUCCUGAAAGAGUGAGAGUUAUGGACAAUGCUCUGAUGCGGUCUGAUUCUCAGUGCUGGCUUCUGAUGGAAGAAGUCCAAAGUAAAGAAGAGGAGCUGCAAAAGGCAGCCUUACAAAUAGAGAAGCUCGAAAGCGUAACUUUGGACAUGCAAUGUGAAAUUGAGAGUUUAAAACUUGAUUUGACUACGCUUGAGCAAAGACUUUUUGAUGCUGAGAGCUUUAGCCAGCAUACUGCCGAGUACAAAGUUAGAAUAGAGAAGCAACUGGGAGAACAUGAGCUCCAGCUGCAAGAGGCAUGGAAGACUAUUGAUCAUCUUGAGGGCGUGGAGCAACUUGAUAAAACAGUGGAGCAUGAUGGUCAUGCAAACUAUGAAAGAGGUCAUGAAAUUCUUGAAAAGAUGGGGAAGCAAAAUGAAGAACCUGAACUUAUAAUUGAGCAGCUCAAGGUAGAACUUCGAGAACAAAAACUGAAAGCAAAGGAGGAUGCAGAAGAUCUCACUCAAGAAAUGGCUGAAUUGAGGUACCAGAUAACUGGCAUGCUUGAGGAAGAAUACAAGCGUCGGUCUUGCAUUGAGCAAGCGGCUAUUCAACAAAUUCAGCAGCUGGAGGCUCAGGUCUCCAAAGAGCAAAGGAAAUUGAGCGGAGCACUAAGACAACUGCAGGAAUCGCAUGAGCUAGCUGACACGCAAGCUACGGAGAUUAAGAAACUGAAGGAUGCUUUAGGGAGAUUGAACUCUGCAAUGAACCUCGGGAGGGUUUGCAAAUCUUGCUCUUGCGGGUUCUGUCCAAUGCUGGUAGAGUUGUCUAAUUGCUCGAUUGAAGGGUCGCUUGACCUCAGAUCUUCCGAUGCUAGCAACAUUGACGAAACACCACCGGAGAACCAAGCGCUAGUAGAGUGGCAUCCCGAUGAAGCUUCAGAUGGUGCCGCAGUAAAUAAUGUAGGAUGCUAG
rnacentral:rRNA from 1 species